ensembl:snoRNA small nucleolar RNA SNORD65
UUAUGAUGAAACCUAAACUGAUAAUAGCUGGAAUUACCGUCAGAUUGAUCAGUGGUGAUAAACGGUUUUCUGAUU